GAGUUCUGGCGCACGUGCUGUAAUUAUCAUUUUGCUCAAUUAAAAAAAGGCUCUCUCUUUAGCUCAUUGCCAAGAGCCCGGAGUAUAAACAAAGUUGAUGGAAAUCUGGGACUUUUUUAUUUUUUUAAAGAGUCUCUCGCCGCUUUAUUUGCCACAACUUGUCUCAUUGCCAUGGCGAUGAGGAAGCGGCUGCAGCUGAGAGCGAGGACGGAGGGUCACGCCAGACCUCCUGCGUGACUGUUAGUACCUGCAUGUGUCUUAAUCCGCUCAAUUUAGCGCUUUCUUUCUGCUUAAGCGGGAGAGAAGAAUGCCAGAGAAGAGUCAGACCGCACCUGCGGACCAGCCACCCCCGCGUCGCGGCAACGGCCGUCUCCCACGCGCGCGUGUGGAAUCUCAGAAACUAAGUUACUCCCGGGAAAAAAGAAAAGAAAACUUUUAUGCGACGUUGUAAACAGGCCCAAUUCACACUUUCAACCCCAUUGUACUCACUGGAAAACGUUUUAAGCAUUCGUUUUCUUCAGCAACAUCAACUUUUCUGUAACUUUCCACUACCUAUAUAGAAGUGUCGCAACUGUUCUGAGGCGGUGGGGGCCUCCCACGACGAAUGCGGAAUCCGAGAAAGUAAGUAGCAGUUUUGGACCGUCCCAGAAACAGACUCAAAACAGGCAGUAUUUCACACGCACGCAUUUGAACGUAGCUCGAGUUGAUUUCCUCUUUUUGUAUGGCUGUAAAACAACCAACACCUCCACCAUUUUUCAUUGGUGUUUUUGAGGAGGUAUUUUGCAACAAGACAGAUUUUAAAGAGUUGUUUUUGUCCGUUCCAGGCCAUAUGUAAAUUUACAUGCUCACUUAUCGACAAACUCUCUGCUGAGCUCCGGCUGAGAGGUCGACUAUAGAAGCCAAGACAGCGGCGAGAGAUUGAAAGGGGCCUCUCCCAGACGCGCUGUUUUCAGAGCCUUCGCUGGAUUAAAGGUGGAUUUCCAAAGGCUCAUUCUGACAUGAGUUCCGCAUCGCGCGCACACUAAAAACAAUGGCCUGCUGCCAUUAACGUACCGCAAAUUAUAGCCUGCAGUGUGACAUUUUUGCAGGCUUUUUGUUGUUAGUUUUUUUUUUUUUUUUUUAAAUCGAUACACCUGUAAAAGUGUUAUGGCUGAAUUUUCUUUCAUUGAUACCAAUGCUAACUUGUCAACCCCUGGCUAAUCCGGGAGUCUCUGGCUCUGAUUCAGAACUGGUGAGUCAAUUCUCCAAGGCUCAAUCGCCUACAGAGAGAAGCGCAGACCACCAUGUUCGCAUCAGAUACCGAUGAUUGGGGUUAUUUUCAAAGCUGAAUUAGAUUUUUCCUGGAAUCUUUGGCUGUAAGGUGCCAACGCACGUUAAUUUGAUACAGAAAUAACUAAACUAUUCAGGUAUAAUUUUAUUAUGAAUCCAUUUGUUUGGUGGGAGGGGGAGGGGGAGGGGCACUUCAUAAGGGAGAAAUCAGGUUUUUACAUUAUUUUUACAGUAUUUAUUCCGGAAGCUGGGAUCAGCCUGUUUUCCCGCGGACCCUUUGCCCAAUCAUGAAGGCUCUCGUUAGAGACUGUUUUGAAGUUGCCGUUAUCUCGGCCGUGGAAACACAACACGAGCCGCACAGGCCUGUGAUCCCAAUCGCCUACUUCACCCACGUCGCAGACAUGUGCCCAACCUCCUCCGUCUUUCUUUCGACGAGACGGCGUUUCCCCAAAACACCGGAAUCAAAGGCAGCGGCGCUUCACUUUAAAAUAGGCCUCGCAUGACAUCCAGAAUUCUGAGCUGCAAUUAUUUGGUAUGGAAGAGAAAUGUUUGGAAGUGUUGGAAAGGAGAGCGCAUUCAUCACAUUGUAAGUCCGGGCAUGUGAAUCCAUCUGUCUCGGUUUGGCUUCUAGACAGAGGUGUCCAGUGUACUCUGGGAAGGGAUCUAAGGAUCAUUCCAGGACCUGUCACAGAAAAGAAUUAUUGGGCAGACUAAAGGAGAUAUCCUUAAACGUAACACUAGAUUGUCUGGAUGUCAUCCUUGCUCAAAUUAUGCUAAUGAAUUCAGCUGAAGCAUGACCUGUUAAUUCCGUAUUUAUUUCUACCAUUGUAAGUUACACGCUGUAAUGUUAUUUUUUGUUUUGGUUUUUAAAAAAAUAUAAAAGAUGGAUGAAUCCAGCCUAUG